UACGUAGGGUGCGAGCGUUAAUCGGAAUUACUGGGCGUAAAGCGUGCGUAGGUGGAUUGUUAAGUGCGGUGCGAAAUCCUGUGGCUCAACCAUAUGGACUGUAUCGCAUACUGGCAAUCUAGAGGACAUGAGAGGCAAGUGGAAUUACUGGUGUAGCAGUGAAAUGCGUAGAGAUCAGUAGGAACACCAAUGGCGAAGGCAGCUUGCUGGCAUGUAUCUGACGCUAAGGCACGAAAGCGUGGGGAGCGAACAGG
rnacentral:rRNA from 1 species